rnacentral:snRNA from 1 species
AACCCUAUUGGGAGCACUCGACCACACGGUGCGUGAGUGCAAAUUUUUGGAUAGUGGUUCCGGGGUUGCCGGGGCUGCGCAAGAUU